UACAGAGGUCUCAAGCGUUGUUCGGAUUCAUUGGGCGUAAAGGGUGUGUAGGUGGCGCCGUAAGUCGGGUGUGAAAUUUCGGAGCUUAACUCCGAAACUGCAUUCGAUACUGCGGUGCUUAGGACUGGAGAGGAGACUGGAAUUCAUGGUGUAGCAGUGAAAUGCGUAGAGAUCAUGAGGAAGACCAGUGGCGAAGGCGGGUCUCUGGACAGUUCCUGACACUGAGACACGAAGGCCAGGGGAGCAAACGGG
rnacentral:rRNA from 1 species